rnacentral:rRNA from 1 species
AACGAACGCUGGCGGCGCGCCUAACACAUGCAAGUCGAACGAGAGGCUCUUCGGAGUAGUAAAGUGGCGAACGGGUGAGUAAUACAUGGGUAAUCUGCCUUUGAGCGGGGGAUAACCAGCCGAAAGGCUGGCUAAUACCCCAUACGCUUCCGGUCCUUCGGGUAAGGAAGGAAAGCUGCAUCGUGGAUGUGGCACUCGAAGAUGGGCCCAUGGCCUAUCAGCUUGUUGGUGGGGUAAUGGCCUACCAAGGCAACGACGGGUAGCUGGUCUGAGAGGACGAUCAGCCACACUGGCACUGAGAUACGGGCCAGACUCCUACGGGAGGCAGCAGUGAGGAAUAUUGCGCAAUGGGCGAAAGCCUGACGCAGCGACGCCGCGUGGGGGAAGAAGGUUUUCGGAUUGUAAACCCCUUUUAGGAGGAAAGAUGGGGUGGUUCGCCACCCGGACGGUACCUCCAGAAAAAGCCACGGCUAACUUCG